AUGUUUGCUUCUGUUUCUCAGUGCAAUCGAUUGCACUCACUUACUUUUUGCUACUUACUUUACAUGCAAUCGAUUUGCAUUGAUAGUGCAAUCAAUUGCACUCUUAAAUUUUUUGAAAAAAUAGCUGUUAACACCUUGUGCAAUCGAUUUACACAAAGGGUGCAAUCGAUUGCAUGCUGCACGAUUUUGAAAAACAUCAGCUUUGUACAUACCUGUUCAUCAUGCCUUUUCAUUGAAACUUUUCACUCAAACUUGGCAUUUGUUCAUGAUACAUUUUCAGAACUUCAUGUUGUUUCAAAAGGGUGUUAUGAACAUAUAAAUAUUCAAUUUCAAAAUUUUUCAACACCUCUUCCAUAA